rnacentral:rRNA from 1 species
AUGCCAACCUUCCGUGAAGCUGCAGAAAAACGGGGGCUCAUUGAGGCAGACAACACAUUAGACGAAUGCAUGGCAGAAGCAGAGUUGUUUCGAAUGCCAUCAUCUCUACGAAGGCUAUUCGCGACAAUCCUGGUUUUUGCGAGCCCAGCGACGUCCGUGGUCUAUGGAACAAACACCUCGAGGCAAUGUCAGAGGACUACAGCAGAAACUGCAAAUGCAAGCACACGGUCGAACAAAUGGUGCUGA